AUGACUUGAAAUAAGAACAAACAUAUCUGCCACAGUGAGGAGAACACUUUUUUCUCCCUCCAGUGAAUUACUAAAGUGGGCUUUACAUACACAGACAAACAAUUUAUUUCCAACUAUGUAAAAAUGUUGUGAACUCACACUGGGACGCUAGCCUGCAGAGAGGAGAAGUGCUGAAGCCAGAGGGGGCUGUGUGGGCUCUUUGCUAAAGAUGGAGCAUGCGCGAUGGUUCCAUUUAUUUCUAAUGACUGUUUAUCCUCUGGCUUUUAUGAUCGCAAACUGAUGAUCACUUGAUGGAGAACCUACAUUGAAAGUGGGAAAGUCUUAGAAGGACUGAGUUUGGAUGGGGGAAGAUUACGAAUUUGGAUUUGGCUAAAUUUGAGAUAGCAUUCUGAGACCUACAGUACUGCUUUACAAGGAUGACUGUAAGAGCUGAAAGCCAAUUGUAUCCACAGCAGAUGAUCUGGUGCACAGCUUUGUAACUGGAGCUGCCAGAUAAUCCCGUGGUUCAAGAGGUGGAUGAGAAUGCUUAAAAUCUAUUCUUUUGGAAAAUUUCAAGUAUA